UACGAAGGGGGCUAGCGUUGCUCGGAAUCACUGGGCGUAAAGGGUGCGUAGGCGGGUCUUUAAGUCAGGGGUGAAAUCCUGGAGCUCAACUCCAGAACUGCCUUUGAUACUGAGGAUCUUGAGUUCGGGAGAGGUGAGUGGAACUGCGAGUGUAGAGGUGAAAUUCGUAGAUAUUCGCAAGAACACUAGUGGCGAAGGCGGCUCACUGGCCCGAUACUGACGCUGAGGCACGAAAGCGUGGGGAGCAAACAGG
rnacentral:rRNA from 1 species